rnacentral:rRNA from 1 species
GGGUAGUCCACGCCCUAAACGAUGCGCGCUAGGUCUCUGGGUUUAUCUGGGGGCCGAAGCCAACGCGUUAAGCGCGCCGCCUGGGGAGUACGGCCGCAAGGCUGAAACUCAAAGGGGAGGACGGGGG